UACGUAGGGACCAAGCGUUGUUCGGAUUUACUGGGCGUAAAGGGCGCGUAGGCGGCAAUUCAAGUCAGCUGUGAAAUCUCCGGGCUUAACUCGGAACGGUCAGCUGAUACUGCUUUGCUAGAGUGCAGAAGGGGCAAUCGGAAUUCUUGGUGUAGCGGUGAAAUGCGUAGAUAUCUGGAGGAACACCGGUGGCGAAGGCGGCAUCCUGGACCGGCAUUGACGCUGAGGCGCGAAAGCCAGGGGAGCAAACGGG
rnacentral:rRNA from 1 species